rnacentral:rRNA from 1 species
UACGUAGGGGGCAAGCGUUGUCCGGAUUUAUUGGGCGUAAAGAGCGUGUAGGCGGCCAGACAAGUCUGCUGUGAAAACUCGAGGCUCAACCUCGAGCUGUCGGUGGAAACUGUCUGGCUAGAGUCCGGAAGAGGAGAGUGGAAUUCCUGGUGUAAGCGGUGAAAUGCGCAGAUAAUCAGGAAGAACACCUAUGGCGAAGGCAG